UUUAGAGUUUGAUCCCUGGCUCAGAUUGAACGCUGGCGGCAGGCCUAACACAUGCAAGUCGAGCGGUAACAGAGAGAAGCUUGCUUCUCUGCUGACGAGCGGCGGACGGGUGAGUAAUACUUGGGAAUUUGCCUUUAGGCGGGGGACAACCACGGGAAACUGUGGCUAAUACCGCAUAAUGUCUACGGACCAAAGUGGGGGACCUUCGGGCCUCACACCUAAAGAUGAGCCCAAGCGGGAUUAGCUAGUUGGUGGGGUAAAGGCUCACCAAGGCUACGAUCCCUAGCUGUUCUGAGAGGAUGAUCAGCCACACUGGGACUGAGACACGGCCCAGACUCCUACGGGAGGCAGCAGUGGGGAAUAUUGCACAAUGGGGGAAACCCUGAUGCAGCCAUGCCGCGUGUGUGAAGAAGGCCUUCGGGUUGUAAAGCACUUUCAGCGACGAGGAAGGGUGUUGUAUUAAUAGCGCAGCACAGAACGUAUCGCAGAAGAGC
rnacentral:rRNA from 1 species